rnacentral:rRNA from 1 species
GGCCUAACACAUGCAAGUCGAACGGUAACAGGAAGCAGCUUGCUGCUUCGCUGACGAGUGGCGGACGGGUGAGUAAUGUCUGGGAAACUGCCUGAUGGAGGGGGAUAACUACUGGAAACGGUAGCUAAUACCGCAUAACGUCGCAAGACCAAAGAGGGGGACCUUCGGGCCUCUUGCCAUCGGAUGUGCCCAGAUGGGAUUAGCUAGUAUGUGGGGUAACGGCUCACCUAGGCGACGAUCCCUAGCUGGUCUGAGAGGAUGACCAGCCACACUGGAACUGAGACACGGUCCAGACUCCUACGGGAGGCAGCAGUGGGGAAUAUUGCACAAUGGGCGCAAGCCUGAUGCAGCCAUGCCGCGUGUAUGAAGAAGGCCUUCGGGUUGUAAAGUACUUUCAGCGGGGAGGAAGGCGACAGGGUUAAUAACCCUGUCGAUUGACGUUACCCGCAGAAGAAGCACCGGCUAACUCCGUGCCAGCAGCCGCGGUAAUACGGAGGGUGCAAGCGUUAAUCGGAAUUACUGGGCGUAAAGCGCACGCAGGCGGUCUGUCAAGUCGGAUGUGAAAUCCCCGGGCUCAACCUGGGAACUGCAUUCGAAACUGGCAGGCUAGAGUCUUGUAGAGGGGGGUAGAAUUCCAGGUGUAGCGGUGAAAUGCGUAGAGAUCUGGAGGAAUACCGGUGGCGAAGGCGGCCCCCUGGACAAAGACUGACGCUCAGGUGCGAAAGCGUGGGGAGCAAAC